UGUUAUACCAAAAGACUGAAGUGAAUGAGCAGGAAAAUGAAAUGUCUGCUAUGACUGCUGAGAUAUUCAGUUUUCAGAUUGCCAUGCUCAGCGAUCAAUAAAUAUCACUUAUGAUGAAGUAAGAAUUUGAUCCUAGACUCAAUCCUAGGUUAGAUGGAGAGGCUGAAUGAGUCCCUUAAAGCUGAUGGAAGUGAUACCUGAAAAGUCAUAUUGAAAUGGAAGGAGUUGAAGAUAGGUAAUUAAAAUUUACAUGGAAUUAAAAAUGGAGCAUUCAA